GACGUAGGGCGCGAGCGUUGUCCGGAUUUAUUGGGCGUAAAGAGCUCGUAGGCGGCUUGUCGCGUCGACUGUGAAAACCCACGGCUUAACUGUGGGCUUGCAGUCGAUACGGGCAGGCUAGAGUUCGGUAGGGGAGACUGGAAUUCCUGGUGUAGCGGUGAAAUGCGCAGAUAUCAGGAGGAACACCGGUGGCGAAGGCGGGUCUCUGGGCCGAUACUGACGCUGAGGAGCGAAAGCGUGGGGAGCGAACAGG
rnacentral:rRNA from 1 species